GGGAAGCCUAAUUAGGUUAAUUAAUAAUUCUAAAGUUAGAGUUGAAUAAAAACACAUAAUAAAUAAUCACAAUUAAAUAAUUUAAGAGUAAAUGAGAGAUUAAAUUUGGGCCCUUUUUGGGCCUGCUGCAAUUUUUGGGGGGUUUAAUUCUAAACCCGUUUUUGUAUACACCUCAUGUAUAUUAGUGUAUAUUAACGUGUAUAUCAACCCUUUUCAUGCAUUUCUUGCUUCCAAACACAUGUAUUUCGCCUCAACCCU
rnacentral:lncRNA from 1 species